rnacentral:tRNA from 1 species
AGUUUGGUAUAGUGUCUUGAGCAUUAGACUACAACUCUGGAGACCAGGGUUCAAAUCCCUGCUAGACUA